rnacentral:rRNA from 1 species
GUCCUAGCCCUAAACGGUGCGCGUUUGCUGUAGGAGGAAUCGACCCCUUCUGUGGCGAAGCUAACGCGAUAAACGCGCCGCCUGGGGAGUACGGUCGCAAGAUUAAAACUCAAAGAAAUUGACGGGGGCCUGCACAAGCGGUGGAGUAUGUGGCUUAAUUCGAUGCAACGCGAAGAACCUUACCUGGCCUUGACAUGCAUUUGGUAGAACCAUGAAAGUGGGACGACCCCGCAAGGGGAGGAUGCACAGGUGCUGCAUGGCUGUCGU